rnacentral:lncRNA from 10 species
GGGUCAAGGCUUGCCUGCUUUCCAAAUGGCCACUUCCAGGAUGGCUUUCCAGAAAAGUCUCCAUGCAGGCACACCUAUAUGUUUCCAGAAAAGUCUCAACGCAGUCCCUGCAGUCUAAGGCCAGCAUCGGCCCAUCUCCCAAAGUCAGUGUGGUGUGGCUUAACACACCGGCUCACCCUAAAUGUGCACUGAAGGGGCCCUGAACUACAAUGAAGGGGACGCCCCGAGCCAGCAAACCCCGAGGGGCUGGGCGUGCCAGGCAGCUGUGGAGCCGGUGGAAGCAGUGAAGUUGGCAGCACUGGCAUCGAAUGCCAGCCAGGGAACCAAGAAAAGGCCACUCUUAGUAAGAAAGUGGUGACUUCGUGAGUGGAAGAGUUGAGGUAAGAAGUUAUGGCCAUAGAGGAUAUUUCUGCAACUCGGAUGAAAGGAUCGCUGUGAUUGGAAAGCAGUUAUCUGCAGCCGAGAUUUCAGAGAUGUUUCUGCCCAGUGGUGACAAAAACUCUCCCUCAGGACAGUGAAUGACAGAUGCAGAACCUGAGACAGCAACGUUGAAAGCAUGCCCAAGAUUACAAGGCAAAGCCAGAAUUCAAAGCCAGGCCAUCUGAUUCAAGUCUUCACCUCAGCGUGAGUCCUCCUCUUUCCCAGCCCUCAGCUGGGUCUUCAUUCACAAAUGAGGGGCAGGGGAACCUCAUGUGCCAGUGGACAUGAUACCCUGAGGAGGACAUGGUGCCACUUCUGUAGCAAUCAGGCUAAGAAUCUAUUACUUGAGUCUACUGAGGAAACAUCAAAGAAAGCCCAAAGGAGGAGGCAGGGACUGCAUUCUUCAAAACAUCAAUGUAAUAAAAGACAAAGAAAGGCUGAGGAACUAUUUCAGAUUCAAGGAAACUAAAGAGAUUUGACAACUAAAUACAACAUGUGACCCCAGACCAACCCUUGUACUGGAGGGGGAAAUAUGCCAUAAAUGACAUUAUUUAGUCAAUUUGGAUACGGACAGUAGAUUUGGGGGAAAAAACUGUAUCAAUGUUCAAUUUGCUGAAGUUCACAACUGUACUGUGGUCAUGUAAGGGAACCUUACCUUAGGAAAUACACACUGACAUAGUUAGGGAUAAUAUAUGCAUGUCUUUGAUUGAUGGAGACAGGGUGUCAUUGUUGCCCGGCUGGAGUGCCGUGGUGCAAUCUUAAUUCAAACUCCUGGGCUCAGCAAUUUUCCCACCUCAGCCUCCCCAGUAGCAUGCAAUAUGAUAUAUGCAACUUACUCUUGGAUGGUUUUGAGAAAAUGUGGGUAUAUGUGUGUAUAGGUAUAUAUGCACAUGUGAAUGUGUACAUGUGUGUACAUGUAUACAUGUACAUGAAUGCAUGCAUAUGUAUAUAUGAACAUGCAUGUAUGCACAUAUAAUGUAUAUGUACUUAUAAUGUGGAGGGGGCAAGGAGGAAGCAUCAACAAUAAAGCAGUGAGGCAGAAUGGGUGUCUACUAUUCUUACACCUUUUCUUACAACAAUUUCAAAAAUUAUUUCCAGGUAAAAAAUGAAUUUUAAUUUUGUUAAAUCAAUUAACCAUGUUGAUUUUUAUUUAUUAGU